rnacentral:rRNA from 1 species
AAUAUUGGACAAUGGGCGAAAGCCUGAUCCAGCCAUCCCGCGUGUGUGAAGAAGGUCUUCGGUUUGUAAAGCACUUUUGUUGGGGAGGAAAGGAGGUCGCCGAAUCCUUGACAGUUUUGACGGUAUCACAACAAUAAGCACCGGCUAACUUCGUGCACCCAGCCGCGGUAAUACGAAGGGUGCAAGAGUUAAUCUGAAUUACUGUGCGUAAAGCGCGUGUAGGUGGUUCGUUAAGUUGGAAGUGAAAGCCCCGGGCUCAACCUGGGAAUUGCUUUCAAAACUGGCGAGCUAGAGUACGGUAGAGGGUGGUAGAAUUUCCUGUGUAGCGGUGAAAUGCGUAGAUAUAGGAAGGAACAUCAGUGGCGAAGGCGACCACCUGGACUGAUACUGACACUGAGAUACGAAAGCGUGGGGAGCAAACAGG